CGCACAAGCAAAGAUGCCUGAGCAGGGGCGUUAUCGUGGUGCAAAAGCUAGUUUUUGUUCUAACACAAAUCCGGCCGUUCAGGUAAUUUCUGAUAGACAGACUUGAUACGGAGCAGCAUUGCGACUAUUCUUGCUAUUAUGGUCAGUCGUUAUGGGGUCGUGUUGAGCUACGAGACGAAGGCCCAAUACGCCUCCGAAUUUACACCAACCUCGGUACGUGAUCGCGGCAUGGCGAAUAUACAAGUUACCGGCUUCGGUUUCAGCAGCCUUAGCUCUUAUGUAAUCUCUUUGUUAAACCACUGCCGUCCAUUUGUAUCUCGAUUUUAUUAUAUUUGGGUGCGAUUUUAUGUUUGGCUUUGCCAGAAAUAAUAACCAAAAAUUACGGCAGACCUUGAAAGAUGGCGAAGAGUUCGCGCGACACCAACGCUGGUACUACUUUCCAUACUUCGAUAGUAAUAGAAAGAGCACAGAUGCUGAGAUUAGCAAUGGAUUUUAGCGCUCAUCAUGCUUCAUGUGUAUUUAGUAUUUUAUUAGUAAUGUAUUUAAAUUUCACAACGCAAUUUAAGUGCCAAUUCUAAAUUUAUUUACUGUCAUUGUCAUUGUUUUUCUUUUUUUAAUAAUUAAACCAAAUUUAUGCAGAGUUAUUACGCAAAGGGG